UUAAUCCCAAGACGUUCCUCGAUGAACAGUAUUACACAUGCUCGCAGUCAAGGAAGUCAGCUCAAGCUGUGAAAUACCGAAAUGGAUAUUUAUUAUCAGAACGGACUUUAUUUAAGGAGGUUCGACGCUCGAAGAAGACAUGAAUAAUUCAUAAUUUAAAAUAAAAUGUAACAUACUCUAAUACCAAUUAAACAUGGAAGAUUCACUACAGGAAAUUACAGAAAAAAUAAGAUACAAAUGUCCUUCUAAUAAAAUGUUAAAGUAUCAUUUAAACAACUUCGGUCCGGAAAAAGAUAUUCGUAAAUUAAAAGAAAUAUUUUUCAUUAAUAACAUUCAUCAUAAAAGACAAAUUUUUCAAGAAAAAAUUCUAUUUUUGUUCAUACAUCUUUAUUAUAUCAAACGGAUUUUGCACUACAUAUGAAAAAUGAAGUCGCGUCAUAGUACAAAACAGAAGGAAGGGAAUAUUUGAUACAAUAAAGACAAUGCCUUAAUUCCAUUUGAACUGUGAAAUGUAUAUAAUUAUAUAGUAAAUUAUUUAUUAGUAUCUUCCUUUUUAAUAUAAAAAUUCAUGGUACAUGUUCCUAAAUGCAAAUUAAUAUUAUUAAAAAUUAGAAAUAUCAUUUGUACAUUAAAAUAAUUGCUACAGUAAAUAAUUAAUUUCAACUUUUAAAUUUUUUAAAAUAAAAUAUUUUACAACACCUUAUUCAGUACACUACAAAUGAUAUUUUAUAUUUUAAUGACUUAAUAUUAAUUUGUAUAUUUUACAUGUAUAAUUUUUAUAUAUUAAAAAAAUUGGUACUAAUAAAUUUUAUGCUCAAUACAUUUCUUAUAAUAACUAAAAGUCAUCUUUCAAAUAUUAAAUAAUAAAAAAGAAAUUAAUAAAAUGUUUCAUUUGCGCUAUAGAUGCAAUAUUAGUAUUUAAGUGUGUAAAAUCGGUCAACUCACCUUAUGACUGUCCUACAUUUUUCGAUGACAUAUAUUGUAAACAAGACGAACUGUUUCCACCUAAAGUUUAUGAUAAAUAAUUGAAAAUAUUUAUUAAAUAUUUAGUUAAAUUCAUAAAAGAGAAUUUGACUGCUUCAAAUGAAUAUUAAUCUGUAGCUAAUCUCUAAUUUCUUAUAUAUAAAAGUUUUACUGUUGAUAAUAAAAUGGUAAUAUGCAAUGUAUUUGGCGUAGGUAAUCAAAUUCUGUGUGUUAUCAAACAAAAAUUAUGUACAAUGUUAGAAUAGAAGUAAAAAUUUAUAAGUAAUUGUAUCGCAGACUACAAGUCAUUAAAUUCAGGAAUCCUUUUCAUCAUUAUCAUAAUGAUGAGUGCUUUAUAAAGGAUUUUCUGAUGAAAUGACUUUAAAAAUAAUAUAACUGGUAUGUUUAAUAUUUCGGAUAUUUAGUGUUUAGUUUGAUAGUGUUUAUUUGGAUACUUAGUUUAGUGAUUAAUAAUUAUGUAACAAUUAAUUAAGUAUAAUUAUAUAUUCUCAUUAAAAAAACAUUUGUGUUUGUAUAUAAAAUAUAUUAAAAAUAACAAAAUUUCAUUUAGAAAAAGUAGAUAUUAAAAAAUAGAUCAAAUGUUGUCUUUGAGAAAAUACAUACAGUACAUAUUGAGAAACAUUAUUUUUUUAAUAAAUUGUAAAUGAGUUUUCAAACAACUGUGUGAGAUCUUCCUUUGAUUGUUCUCGUGGUGCCAAUUUUGUAAUACGAUGC